rnacentral:lncRNA from 1 species
CAUCCACACGGGCCAGCCCUUCUCAUCCUGCUCCGACGACAGCAGUCGGCGGCGCGAGUCCUUGCUGAACAUGCCGAGGUCCAUCUUCUUCAGGAUCCCGCCGAGGCUGUUGGUGAUGGCCAGCGCGUUGCUGCUGAGCUCGGUGGCGUUGCGCAGCACGGAGUGCAUGUCGGCCUUGAGCUUCUCGUCGACGAAGCCGUCGACGCAGGUGUCCAUGAACGUCAUGACGCCCGUGAGCCAGGUCUCGAGGUCGUCGGACCGGCUGAACAGCACCUUGAUGUCGCCGCCGGCCAUCUCGAGCAUGCCCCUCAGGUCGUCGGCGGCGUCCUCCAGGAGCUUCUUGCAGUCCUCGCGCGCGCUCUCGGUCAUGGAGUCGCUGGCCUUGGCCUC